rnacentral:lncRNA from 1 species
CCUUUUCCUAUCUGCCUAAAAUUAUUUUUUUAAUAAAUCCUAUAACAGUAAUCCAAGAUAACACAUUUUGAAAGUAACAAGUUAUGUAAUGUGUAUGGCAAGAGUCCCAUGAGUCAAACUCACAGGGUAAUGGCUGGAAUGAGGAUGGGACUUGAAAGAUGAGUAGAAUUGAACAGGAAUGGGCGGAACUUCCAAACAAAGCAAGGCAAGAAUGAGCGUGGUGUGUUGAACAACAGGGGGUAGACUAGCUUGACUAAUUUGGAAGGUAUAUGGGAAAGAAGAAAAAAUAAGUUGAAUAAAUAGGAUGAGGCCAGUUUAUCCAGGGUCAUGGAAAACCAAAAUGAGGAAUUUCAAAAUAAGGCAGGUUACUGUGGCUACUUGACAUCAUUUUUCAGGAGAUUGUGUGAAAUAGCAGUAAUGAACAUGAUGAAUGAUUUUGAUAAAAUAGGCACUCCCAAAGAUGCCAAUGGAUUAUCUUUUCCACCAAGGGAUAUCUUUUCCUUGCCACUUCCCAGGAGGGAUAAAGAGAGAAGAUUCUAAGGCUACCUUCCUAAAACUACAUCUUUAGGAUUAUUUUUUUGUUUCUCUUUGCGCUCUGUAGGCUUCAUUUUAAGACAUCCUCAACAAACAGGUUUAUUACAGUGUGUAUAUCCUGGCAUUAAACUGUAUGUUAGGAAAUAUGUUGAGGCCGUUCUCCAAGGUCACCCAGUUUUUAGCUUGAUGGUGUUGCUUUCCCCACUCGAUUCUUUCUAGCACCUGUGGUAUCUCUCCUCCAGGUCCUUUUGACCCCUUGAACAAAAUUUCUCUCAGCACCUAUUCCCUCCUUUUAAAACUUUCUACCAGAAUUAUUUAAAUUAAUGAAUGUUUCUGGUUGCCUAAUGUAACACUGCAACGUGUAUUUUCUUAAAAAUUUUUAUAUUUCCUCACAUUAGUGCCUUUCUCUCAGCAUUACCACACAAGGCUCUGUGCUUGAAUGUCCUAUCAAGGCCACCAUAAAAAUGGUAGGUUCAAUUCAUUUUGGUUCAAUAGACAUAUUGGUAUUUCCGAAAUUAAUAUAUGUCAGAUUGGUCUUGACCCAGCCAUCAAAGUUAUUCUUAGAGUCAUACAUAUUUUUGAAGUUCUUUUUUUUUAUAGCUAACUGAACAAAACCAGAUUAAUUAUUGACCCCUGAAAAACUUGUUAAAAACUAGAGAUUAGGCCAUGCUCUAACUUUUCCCAUUGAGAAUCUUUCUUAAUUCAUUGUAGUCACCUUUGUGGGUGUCAUUUUCUUUUGCCGAAAUUUAAAAGCAACACCCAGUUUGUCAAUUACAGGUUUCUGAGAAGCAGAUGCCAAGACGGGAUUACAUGUGCAGGAGAUAAGAGAAAAUGCCUGUGAAGGACAAAGGGAGACCAGCAAGAGAAGGCAGGGAGACUCCGAUUGGAAUGCAGGGGAGUCGAAAUCUGAAAAAGCAGAAUGGGAAGGAAGAAUAGGUUGAAAGAACCUGUUUGUAAUGUCAUUCUGAGAGACUCAGCCAGGUCAAUGGGGAGUCCUAAGCCAAAGUUGUUCAUUAGAGGAAUUCCAAAUUGGUCAGGAUCUGCUGUGCUCAGUAACUGUCUGAGAGCAGUGCAGGAAAAACUUAGUCCGGUGCAAACUCAGUGGUGAAUCCAAAAGUGCAGUAGGCGGAGACUGUAAAUCAAUUCAUAAUAACAUUCAUGGUGUCGCUUCAUGAUUUCUGUAAACCUCUCUAAAAACUUAGGAAAGGGAAGUUAAUAGGACAAACUAUCAUCACAGGUGGUCUGGGACCACACUAGUACUUACCCUGUCCUACACUAUCCACUCUAUAUUCCCAUCACUCUCAGCUCUCACUUCAGCAGAUCUUGUUGACUUACUUGGUGGCAUGACCUAAACAUUCACUCCUAAGUGGUCUUGGGCUUUUGUCAUCAUACUCUUCUCAGUCCGUGACUGCAGUUUGUGUCCAUUCACAGUUAGAACUAGGUAAGGGCAUACCAAGAGGCACCCAAGUGGAUCAUCUGAGUUUCACAUGUGUAUUUCUCCCUGUCCCCAAGGUGUAAAGGUGGCCCCACCUCCUCAUACUAAUCAAUUAUCCUUGCUUGCUGGCCCCUGGCUGCAAAGAGCCAAAAGUGUCGUGCUAUACAUAGCUUAUAGUUCAAUGGAUUCCCGCUCUACCCCUUUGCAAGAGAGAAAACCUGUAAUUCUACUCAACCCAGAGUUGGGGAAAGUGAAGCACAGAGUUCUCCAGUGGGUUAUUAGGAGUGAUUUUAAAUAAAGCCAUUUGUGAUUUCACCUUUUGGUUCCUAGAUCCAUGUAUUUGCCGUACUAGAGACACAGUGCCAUGUAGAAAUCUCUGAUUAGUGCCUAUACUAAAUACUGAGAGAUGUCAUGCCAUCCUUGCAGAUUAUUGUCUCUGAGCUGCUGAUUUCGCUGUGACUUAAGUAGGCUUUUCCAGUACUCUAUGAGGCCAACUUCACCUAAAUAGUGCAGUAUAUGAUAAAACAAUUAGACCUCAUGGACAUGGCCUAUUCCUGUACCUCCUUUUCUAUAAAGUAAGUUUUCUUGUGGAUGCUCUGCUAGGUGGGAUUCUGUGACUAGAGAGGCAUUCUGCUAGUGGUGCCAGCUAAAUCUUUGCAGACAGGAAAGGCCAGGUUCUAGUACCUGCUCAAUCAAAGCCUGGAAGCAGCCAGGGGAAGCGUGGCUUAUCACGAACUCCACAGUGGAUCCAAAGGUGUGGCAGCUGAAGGCUGUCAGUCAGCUGCGCUCUCCACAGCAGGUGCUUUUGAGGAGAGAUCUGAGUGGAACACUUGUAAGGCUGCCAGAGCAAGACAGUGACUCUCACAAAAUCAUAUGAGGAGCGGGAACAUUUGCAGCGCCCUGCUGGAGUAAGAAAUGUAGAAUAAAGAGUUAUUCAAACUUAGAAUAGUACUUGAAGGAGAACCUACCUAAAUUUGUGAAAGUCUAAAUUAUAAACAAUACUGUUUUUAAGGAAAUGCCUUAAUUUACUUCCAAACAAAUAUUCUAAUCUUGAGCAUACUAACAUACUGAUAUUGAAUCCUGGCUAAGGGUUUUACUAUAAGUUAAUAGAGGAAACAUUUUUAACUAGUAGUAUUUAUUUGCCUACAUGUAAUUUGCUCAAAUUUUAAGGACAGUUCAUUUACCAAGACCCCUACAUUCAUAAUUUUCCACAUGGAUAGUGUAAAGGCAACUUCAGCCCAGUAAAUGUCAAUAAAUUAAAAGACUUUUUUCUUUUGAUUAGUGCAGUCUAAAGUAAUUCUUUUUGCAAUAUAUUAAAAUGACUUGCUCAAGAUUCACUUUUCAAAGGCAUUGUGAGCUUACUUCCUACAGUCUGAGACUGUUACAUAUGAGUAACUAUGGAUUAGCUUGUAGGGCCAGCAAAAUAGGUGAACAGAAAAUCAGCCUCAAAAAACCUCCAUCCUUUGCCAAUUUACUUAAGGAAAACUCUCCAUAGCCAAACACUGUUGCUGGUAAUAAAAGCUGCAAGCUGUCACUGAAUUCUGCUUUCUUGGCAGCACAUCUCGAUAUACUGAUUGAUAAAGACUCAGAUAAUCAAAUCAAGAAUGCUACAGGUGGUUACUCCUCAGAAACCUUGAAAGGAUUUAAAUUCAUUCUGCUUAAAGUCAUGCCAUACAGGAAGCCAUCAGAAGUUGCCUGGUAAGGAUUUAAGAAAAAAGGAAUUAAGUGGUUAUUUGGGUCAUAAAUUUUAGGGCAUCAGGUUAUGAGUAUCUGAUGUAUUUAUAUUAAUAAUUACAGCUUACCAUGGGCCAGUCACUCUUUUAAAUGCCACAGCAAAUUUAUGAAGUAGGAUAUAUUAUUAUCCUCAUUUGCACAUGAGGAAACUGUGCACAAAGACGUUAAAUGGACUGCCAAAAAUCCUAAAGCUAGUAAGUGCCAGUACCAGUAUUCAAACCUAGGCAGUCUAGCUCUUAACCGCUAUACUAUAUCUUCCAUUGAAAUGGACAGCUGGUUAUUUUGACUAAAUAUCCUAAGAUAUGUUUGGAAGGGAAUUACCAUCACUGACCUCUUAAAUCUCCUUUUUCUGUACUUCCAAGCUGAUCAACUCUUUUUUUGUGAAAGACUCAAAUUGUUGUGUUGUAUUACAUGAAUCGAUAUAUGGGAUAAUUGCUAAACAUUAUAGACCUGAGAGUCAUUCUAUCUCUUUUAGAAAUCUUUUUCUUUAUUCCAUAAUGGAUAAUGACAAAUUCAAAAGCUUUAGGAAGUAGGCAGAUAACAUAAGUGAGGGAGAUGGCUUGGUAUAAGACAAUUUGAAAUGGCGAGAACUGUGGCAAACCACUACUCACUCGUCACUUGGCUCCAGCUGCUCUGUGCAAAUGUGGAUCCAAUGUUAUCAGAUAUUUUAAGGCCAGGAAUGGUGGCUUAUGCCUAUAAUCCCAGCACUUUGGGAGGCCAAGGUGGGAGGAUUGCUUGAGCCUAGGAGUUUGAGACCUGCCUGGGCAACACAGUGAGACCCUGUCUCUACCAAAAAAAAAAAAACAUUAGCGACAUGUGGUGGCAUGUGCCUGUAGUUCCAGCUACUUGGGAGGGUGAAGUGGGAAGAUUGCUUGAGUUCAGGAGGUCAAGGCUGCAGUGAGCUAUGGUUGUGCCACAGCACUCCAGCCUGGGUGACAAAGCAAGACUCUGUCUCAAAAAAAAAAAAAAAAAAGAUAUUUGAAAUUUUACCUUAAGGGUAAGUUAUUACCUCUGCAAAUAGCUCAUUUCUUCAUCGUCUGUUUUACUCUAUUCAGUUUCAGAGAGAGACCACAGUCUUGACUUUAUUUUCAAGUUCUGUGAAUCCAUUAUUUUUAGAGCUUUUACCUCUUUACAGUCUCCAUGUAUAUAUUCAAUAAUGUAAAAUAUGUUAACAGUUCAUUGUUUGGACUGUGUCCUUUUUACAGACAAUUGACUAUAUAAAAGGCUGAAGGGCUUUUCCAGUAUAUCCCUAGUACUACAAAGUACGUUUUGGAGUCAGACAAAUCUGAGUUUGAAUUCUGUUUCUGAGACAUUAACUUGUAAUUUCAGCAAGAUGUUUUUUCUUCAUCUGUACAAUAGGGUUACUUAUACCUCCUAAUUAGAUGAGGAUUAAAUAUAUAUAAAUACACUGAUCAUAGCAGCUGUCAUAUGCAAAUUCUGAAGCAAACAAAAAAUUAAAAAACAAUGAGUUAUCAUUAAUAAGUCAUAAAGGAAAUAAAGGAAAGAUUAUAUGGAAUCGUAUAAAAAUACUCAAAAAGGGCCAGGCAUGGUGGCUCAUGCCUGUAAUCCCAGUACUUUGGGAGGCCAAAGUGGGUGGAUCACCUGAAGUCAUGGGUUCAAGAUCAGCCUGGCCAACAUGGGUAAACCCCGUCUCUACUGAAAAUACAAAAAUUAGCCAGGCAUGGUGGCAUGUGCCUGUAAACCCAGCUACUCAGGAGGCUGAGGCAGAAAGAACUGCUUGAACCCAGGUUGCAGUGAGCCAAGAUCGUGCCACUGAACUCCAGCCUGGGUGACAGAGCAAGACCCUGUCUCAGAAAUAAAUAAAUGAAAAUGAAAAUACUCAAAAAGGACAUUUAUAUGUAACUAUAUCAAAAUCAAAAAGGCGAUUUAUAUGGAAUCAUAUAAAAAUAGCCUAAAAGAAGUCAGAAAAAAAGAGGAAGAAAAACCGAGACAAAAAACAAAUACCAAGAUGAUAGAUUUAAACCCAACAUCAAUAAUCACAUUAAAUGUAAAUAUCUUAACACUUAAAAUUCAUAUUGAAACACUGAACAAGAAAGGAAGUUCCAACCAUACCCUGUCUAUAAGAAACUCACUUUAAAUAUCAAGACACAGGCAGAUUAAAAGUAAAAGGAUAGAAAAAAAGAUAAAUACUAUGCAAAUACUACUCAAAAGAAAGCUAGAGUGGCUAUAUGCAUAUCAGACAAUGUAGAUUUCAGAGCAAGGAAUAAAAUUAGUCUUUUCCCGCCUUAGAACUUCAGUCCCCCAGGUCUCUUCCUGUGAGGCAGCACAUUACCCAUUUUUCUGUAUCUUUCCAGGAUGAGUUUAUGAAUAUAUAAGCAUAUAUCACUUUUAUUUUCUACUGAGGGGAGCAUACUAUAUUCACUGUUCUGUACUUUGUUUUUCCACAUAUAUCUAGGACAUUAUUCUGUAGUAC